UGGCCGGUACAAUGCGAAGCGAAGCAGCGAUGUGAAGCAAAUCGCACCAAAGCCGGUCCCAGUUCGGAUAAGAGGCUGAAACUCGCCUCUUUGAAGUCGGAAUCGCUAGUAAUCGCAGAUCAGCAUGUUGCGGUGAAUACGUUUCCUGGUCUUGUACACACCGCCCGUCAAACCAUGAGAGUCGCCAACACCCGAAGUCCGCUUUGCGGCCUAAGGUGGGGGAGAUGAUUGGGGUUAAGUCGUAACAAGGUAAC
rnacentral:rRNA from 1 species